UACGUAGGUCCCGAGCGUUGUCCGGAAUUACUGGGUGUAAAGGGUGCGCAGGCGGUCUUGUGCGUCAGAGGUGAAAUAUCACGGCUCAACCGUGAGGGUGCCUUUGAUACGGCAAGACUUGAGUACGAGAGAGGGUGAUGGAAUUCCUGGUGUAGCGGUGAAAUGCGCAGAUAUCAGGAGGAACACCGGUGGCGAAGGCGGGUCUCUGGGCCGAUACUGACGCUGAGGAGCGAAAGCGUGGGGAGCGAACAGG
rnacentral:rRNA from 1 species